CCUACGGGAGGCAGCAGUGAGGAAUAUUGGUCAAUGGCCGGAAGGCUGAACCAGCCAAGCCGCGUGAAGGACGAAGGUGCCAAGCAUUGUAAACUUCUUUUGUCAAGGGACAAAAUCAGGCUCGAGAGCCUGACCGCGGGUACUUUAAGAAACAGCAUCGGCUAACUCCGUGCCAGCAGCCGCGGUAAUCCGGAGGAUGCGAGCGUUAUCCGGUGUUAUUGGGUUUAACGGGUGCGUAGGGGGACUGUUAAGUCAGCGGUAAAAGCCCGGGGUUAAACCACGACGAGCCGUUGAAACUGGCUGUCGUGAGAUGUCGAGAGGUAUGCGGAAUGCGAAGUGUAGCGGUGGAAUGCGUAGAGAUUGCGAAGAACUCCGAUUGCGAAGGCAGCAUACCGGCGGCGAUCUGACGCUGAGGCACGAAAGCGUGGGUAUCGAACAGGAUUAGAUACCCUUGUAGUC
rnacentral:rRNA from 1 species